AUCUUGAUCACAGUGACAGUCACAGAAUCAGGUACAGAAUCAAAGGACAAACUGAGCUUCACAGAUAAAGACAAAACUGAAGACACUGAACAACACACUGUAGCAAAAUGGAUUGUGUCAGUUGUAGUGUGUUUGGUGAUUCUGGCUGUGAUUGUGAUUGUGAUUUCUGUCAUCAUAUGGCGACAUCAGCACAGAGGUCACACACAGGUUCCAGUACAGGAGAAUACAGAGCACAAACACAUACUGGAGAAACUGGAGAAAUCUAGUAGAAUGCAGUAGAAUUACCAGAAAUCAUCAUGGAUAAAGGUGAUCAACGUUAUGUUGAUUUGCACUGAUCGUUCACUCUUAGGCCAGCAGAAUAUGAAUCUGAUCCCCACAGCAUAACAGAGCAACUAGAUCCUCUGAUUUUACUGUAAUUUAUGUAUUUCUAUGUAUGCUUUGAACAUCUGUUGAAAUAUGCAUCAAUUCUAUGUAUGUCUGAACUAUCAUGUUUCUUUCCAUUUUAAACAUCUUCAGAGUUUUUUCUUGCUGCUGUUGCCUGUUACUAUUCUUUGUAAAGCUUUAUUAAA